rnacentral:rRNA from 1 species
UGAGUGGCGGACGGGUGAGUAACACGUGGGUAACCUGCCCUAAAGUGGGGGAUAACAUUUGGAAACAGAUGCUAAUACCGCAUAAAACCUAACACCGCAUGGUGUAGGGUUGAAAGAUGGUUUCGGCUAUCACUUUAGGAUGGACCCGCGGUGCAUUAGUUAGUUGGUGAGGUAAAGGCUCACCAAGACCGUGAUGCAUAGCCGACCUGAGAGGGUAAUCGGCCACACUGGGACUGAGACACGGCCCAGACUCCUACGGGAGGCAGCAGUAGGGAAUCUUCCACAAUGGACGAAAGUCUGAUGGAGCAACGCCGCGUGAGUGAAGAAGGUUUUCGGAUCGUAAAACUCUGUUGUUGGAGAAGAAUGUAUCUGAUAGUAACUGAUCAGGUAGUGACGGUAUCCAACC